UUCUGAAUUCGCUAUAUGCAGAUGUUUUCUCGCUUAAAAUUUGAAACCAUAGUUUCUGAGCAAAUGAAAGCUUUCAGCCACUGUUUCUAUGUAUGUGUGUUGUGUGUUCAUCUGCAUUUGCCAAAGUUUAAUUUUGCAUGAGUACUUUACAAUAAAUUGAUUUUUAUUCACAAUUUUUCCCCACAAUAUUUACAAUUUCUUUUACUGUUAUUUUUCAGACAAUCUUCAGGAACAAUUUGAUGAUAUCUGCAAAAGAAUUGGUAAGAAUGGACAAGAAAAAG